rnacentral:lncRNA from 1 species
AAAAAACCCUCAUUCUCUUCUCUCCCUCUCUCAGCACCUUAACUUUAGCCGCCCUUUAACCCCCGUCGUCUCUGCCUGGUCCGCCAACCGGAAAUCGCCUCACGGCGGUGGACCACCUCCAAACUCCACCAAAGUAACACCCUAUAACCAUCUUUCCCUCCCCUUUCCAAAUCCCCAAUCAUUUCCCUCAAAUCAUUCUCAAAUCGCUCGAAUCUUGGAUCUGAAACCCUAAUUUUUCCCUUUUUGAUUUCCGGCAAUUUCUGGUUUGUUUGAAACCAAGACUUCCAUUAGUCGAUUGUUCUUGUUGAGAACAGUCGAUUAAUGGUCAUCCAAGUUCAUUUUACCCCGAUGAAGCAUGUCCAAGUUCUUGACUGGUCCAAAUUUGAGGCGAGUUUUGGUAAUUCCUUUGCCAUUCUUUUUUUUCUUUUCUCUCAUCUUUUGAUUAUCUCCUUCAUCUUCUUUCUUUCUUUUAGCCGCAUAGGUUUUCUCAUGUUCCCAGCUGUUUAGCUUGUUUAUUUGCAUCUGUUUAGUAGGUUUAUUAAAGCAUGCUAGAAUUUCAGUAUUUGAAGUUUAAUUUCAAAUUGCAUAAAUUUAGUUUAAUUAGAGUUAACUUUUAGGUUUGAUAAAUAGAAUGAUUUUCCUAUUUCUUUCAUAUUUUUGUCUUAUGCUUAUUUAUUUUAUGCUCAGUGUUUAGUUUAAGUUAAUUAGAAUAAUGUUACUCAAGUUGAUUAACGAGCUGUUUUUGGUUAGCUGUUAAACAAAUUAGUUGAUUAAAUUGUUUAACUUACCAACUGAGUAGGUUAAUUUCUAGGGUUUCUUUGCAGUUUCAUUAUAAUUUUGUUUUGUCUAUUUUUUAGAUGUGUUAGUUGUUUAAAUCCAAUUUUGUUUUAGGUUAAUUAUGUGAGCCUGUUUAAUUUACUAAUUAGAUUUAGAUUUUUUAGCUUAAACCCUGAAUGCUCUUAAGAUUAAGACUGAUUUUGGAAUUAAAAGAACAUUUGAAACCAUGUUUAGGAGGUUUCAUAAGGGUCUUUAAAAUCAGAAUUUGGGUCAUGACUUGUUAGGUUUGAAAUAUCUAGUAAAUAAAGGGUAAAAUUGGUUUUACAUAAAGCUAAAAAUCAGAAGGAUCUAGCACUUUGUCCAGUUGCCCCAUUCUUAGCAAACAAAUGUUGAAAUUGGGUGGGAAAAAGGACAUACAGCUGUCAAAAGAUGUUGUACUAUUCUGACACUUCAGAAUUUAGGUUAGAAUAUUCUAUUUUGAUGUCAUCUAUGUCCACUCUAUAUAAAGAAAAGCAUUCACCCAUUCUCACAGGGAUUUUAUGAGCAUAAUUGCACCUAAAAAAUUUCACAAUACAAAGAAAAAUCCUUAAAUUUUUCUGGAAAAAGCAUCAGCUUUCCGAGUUAGAUUUUUAGGUUGAUUUCUCAAAUACUUUGAUUCUUGAGAAGUUUGGGUGUUGUUUCUUGGUUUCUGGGUUGAUUCUUGACUCCUGUUGUUUGGGUUUUUUGUUUCUGCUCCAUCUUUAAGUUUCAGCCAGCAUUUCAGUUGUUUUUGUUGCUGGUUUUUGUUGUUCCUUUAAGGUACUGAUUUCAGCCUUCUUCAUGUACUGCUUGUUUAAGUAAUAUAAGACCAAAAGCUGCAAAUUAUACAUGAAAAAUGAGUAUCAUUUCAUGUUAGUUGUAGCUUACAUUGAUAUGGAUCUGAUUAGUCUUUAUUAUGUGAGUUUAAGCUUGAAUUAAUCUGGUAUGAGUAGCCUGGUUAAUACAUUGAUGCUUUGUAGUUUUCCUCUUGAAAGUAACCUUGUUUGAAGAUGCUUCUUUGGCUAAAUGUUCUUCAUAUUAACCUUGAUUAUGAAUAUUAUUUAUUGAAGUCAUUCCUUCCCUUCUUAUUUUGUUGGUGAAUAAUAUGGUGUUUAUUUGAGGUCAUUUGGGGUUUGUUUUGCUAACCAUGAGCAACAACCUAUGGAUUUGGCCACUAGUUAGCCAAAUCAGCAGGUUCAAAAGAUAAGAGCUGAAAUUAUGUUGUUGAUAUCAUGCUGAAACUGGUGGUUUCAUGUGUUGGACCAAGCUUUGAUGGAUAAAUCAUGUCCACAAGAGGCAGGUGUUCAUUAGGCUAUCAAUUACCUAGAAGUUCUAAUAGAAUAGUUUGAUAUGUUCUCUUUAAAGAUUAAAUUCUGGUAUAGUAGAUCAGUUUUUAUUUUAGCUUCAAAGUUCAAAAGGUACCCCACAUCAAUUAUGUUCUGUAAUGAGUGAUUUCACAAUAGUAGAAACUUCAUGAAUAGCCCAGACCUGUAUAUAAUUUCAAUUCAGC